GCAUAGCUCAAUGGCAGGGCGUCUGCCUCGCAUGCAGACGGUCCCGGGUUCAAACCCUACAUGCGGCG